GAUGAACGCUGGCGGCGUGCCUAACACAUGCAAGUCGAACGGAAAGGCCAUGCUUUUGCGGCGCGCUCGUGUGGCGAACAGGUGAGUAACACGUGAGUAAACUGCACCUGUAUUUGGGAUAACUUCAGGAAACAGCGGCUAUUACAGGAUAGGAGCUCCUGAUGCAUGGUGGGGGUUGGAAAGAUUCGGCGGUUGUGGAUGGAAUGGCGGCUUACGAGCUUGAUGGUGAGGUAGUGGCGUACCAAGGGUUUGACGGCUAGGCGGCAUGAGAGGGGGAACGGGGACAUGGGGACUGAGGGACGGCCCAGACGGCAACGGGCGGCAGCAGGGGAGAAUAUGGCACAAUAGGGGGGAGCGAGAUGCAGCAACGCCGGGUGCGGGAUGACGGCCUUCGGGGUGUAAACCUAUUUGUCCGGUGACGAAGAGUGAGUGACGGUAAUGAGUAAAGAAGCAACGGCUAACUACGUG
rnacentral:rRNA from 1 species